ACGCUGGCGGCGUGCCUAAUACAUGCAAGUAGAACGCUGAAGGAGGAGCUUGCUUUUCCGGAUGAGUUGCGAACGGGUGAGUAACGCGUAGGUAACCUGCCUGGUAGCGGGGGAUAACUAUUGGAAACGAUAGCUAAUACCGCAUAACAGUAGAUGUUGCAUGACAUUUGCUUGAAAGGUGCAAUUGCAUCACUACCAGAUGGACCUGCGUUGUAUUAGCUAGUUGGUGAGGUAACGGCUCACCAAGGCGACGAUACAUAGCCGACCUGAGAGGGUGAUCGGCCACACUGGGGCUGAGACACGGCCCAGACUCCUACGGGAGGCAGCAGUAGGGAAUCCUCGGCAAUGGACGGAAGUCUGACCGAGCAACGCCGCGUGAGUGAAGAAGGUUUUCGGAUCGUAAAGCUCUGUUGUAAGAGAAGAACGAGUGUGAGAGUGGAAAGUUCACACUGUGACGGUAUCUUACCAGAAAGGGACGGCUAACUACGUGCCAGCAGCCGCGGUAAUACGUAGGUCCCGAGCGUUAUCCGGAUUUAUUGGGCGUAAAGCGAGCGCAGGCGGUUAGAUAAGUCUGAAGUUAAAGGCUGUGGCUUAACCAUAGUACGCUUUGGAAACUGUUUAACUUGAGUGCAAGAGGGGAGAGUGGAAUUCCAUGUGUAGCGGUGAAAUGCGUAGAUAUAUGGAGGAACACCGGUGGCGAAAGCGGCUCUCUGGCUUGUAACUGACGCUGAGGCUCGAAAGCGUGGGGAGCAAACAGGAUUAGAUACCCUGGUAGUCCACGCCGUAAACGAUGAGUGCUAGGUGUUAGACCCUUUCCGGGGUUUAGUGCCGUAGCUAACGCAUUAAGCACUCCGCCUGGGGAGUACGACCGCAAGGUUGAAACUCAAAGGAAUUGACGGGGGCCCGCACA
rnacentral:rRNA from 1 species